rnacentral:rRNA from 1 species
GAUAAACGCUGGCGGCGUGCAUAACACAUGCAAGUCGAACGAAGUGGCGAACGGGUGAGUAACACGUGUGUAACCUGCCUUACACAAGGGGAUAGCCUUGAGAAUCGAAGAAUAAUACCCUAUAGUGUAAGAUGGACUUGCGUCUGAUUAGCUAGUUGGUGAGAUAAAGGCCCACCAAGGAAACGAUCAGUAGCCGGCUUGGGUGAGUGUACGGCACCAUUGGGAGUGAGACACGGCCCAAACUCUACGGGAGGCAGCAGUGGGGAAUUUUGCACAAUGGGGGAAACACUGAGGCCUCGAGGCCGCGAAAUUUAUAAGGCCGUCGGGUUGGAAAAAUCUUUUAUAUGGGAGGCAGUACCAAAAGAAUAAGGACCGGCUAAAUACGGGCCAGCAGCCGCGGUAAUAC